AAACUGGAUUAAAAUGAAGUCAGUGCACAUGAAAGUCCCAGUGAGGGAAUUAAAAAGCUUAGCAAAGAAUGGCAAGUUAAAGAUGUGUUUAUUGAAUUCAUUAUAAACACUUUAUCAACCUUUUAACAACAUAAACCGUUGUUCCACGAUUUCUGGCACACCUUUAAAAGAAACAUGCUUUAUGUUAAGUAACAGCGUUUGAUUUUCACACUGCACAUUAUAGCAAACAUGUCCACGUUGGUCCUGUCCAUACAGAACCACAGAUUUGUGACUUUGUAAAGCUAAACUGUGCUGCUCUGUUAUUUUUGGCAAACUCCAGGAAGACAGUCGCACUAUGUUAACAUAGAUGUAAACACUCCAGACAAGAAAACUACCAAAACCUGUGCUGGUGUGGAGCAGCAGGGCCGUACAUACACUGCCCGUGAACGCCGUGUUUCCAUGACUGGAGGUGUCUUAUGUGAUGAAGAGUGUCUGUGGCUGACUGAGCAGAGCACCCAACAACAACCCUGCACUCCACCAUCCUACACGACCUCUCCUGACUCUACAUCACACUAAUCAGGGUAAAGUCCAAACAGACAAUCUACGCAGGUGGAAACCAAACUACACCACCAUCAGAGGUGGGCUUCAGGUGUGCACCAGUACUUCCUGUAACCUCACGAGGUAAGACAUGCUGCACUACAUCUGCUUACUAGCUAUCAUGUACUGGAUAUAAAGUCCCAGUAUGGAGAGUAUGGCUAUAACAAUGACUUAUUAUUCAGACUUAUGGAUAUAUUCAUGUCAAAAAAUGUUAACAAGUAAUAAUAAAUGAAUGCAACAGAUACCACAGGCUUUCACAGGCUUCAGGCCCUAAUAAAAGUCCACCAGCAGGCCACGAGUCUCAGAGCGAGUCCUGACUCAGGCCUUGGAGCUUUGUUGUGGGGAGGGACUGUAAAGAAAGACAAAUGUUUUAUGGUAAGGCCAACUGAGAGAGGAGUGAAAGAGCUUUCAACAGACACCCAAAUAAAUCAAGCUUCAAUAAACCACUUCCUCAAACUUCCUUUCACUGAUUGAACCGAGGAAGAGUUCGGCAUUUACAGCCCAGUUCCUGUUCCUUGGAGGUGGCCGCCUUGUUUAUCGGCACCUCCUCCUAACCCCAUGCUUUCUUGUAAACAACAGCAGCCAGCCUGGAGCUUUCUUUGUGUUUCACCUUCAUGAGUGGGAAGGAUUUUUGAGGAAUCAAGGAACAAAAAAACUAAAAAAUAAUAAAACAAAUACCGGAACAAUCCUGAAGCCCUUCGAUUUCUCAGAGCUUAUUUAAUUUUCCUCCACGUUGCAAACUACACAUUUCACGCUGUUUUCAGGGAGAUGAACCAUUUUUUAUCUUCAAACUUUCCAUAAAAGUGACAAUUCUCUGAAAUAUCACAAACACCUUUGGAGAGAUUCCCUCCAUCUGUAGAUUAAACGGCACUACAGAAUCCAAAUGAGGUGCUUAAGCAGCACGAGCCUCUGCUGCCAAAACAGCACCGCCUUCGCUGCUUCCUAACAACGUCUUUACCUCCAUUUGUUCAGACAGCUUUGCCAUUUGGCUGUCACCAUGGAAACACGCUGGCCUGCUAACGACACAGUAGCAAUGAUGAAGCGCAACGGCGGCUUUACUCGCCGACUCGGGGAGCUUCUCCGAGCUACACACCCAAUCGUUUGGAGAGUGAGAAGAAGUUAGACAUGCGCCGUCUUCUGGCGUUCUCGCUCUGACUCCCUUCGAUGUUUGGAUUGAUAACAAAAAACUGAUGUGCUGACAUAUGAAGAAGACUAUAUUGAGAGCACUUAGGAUCUGAGAUCUUAUCAGUGGACCUAGUUUGGUUUGGUGUUGCUACACAAGCCAAUAAAGACCAGCUGACAACUGUAAACAGCAGCAGAGCUACAUGACUGAUGUUCAGCACCUUCUACAUUUUUUGGUAUCCCGACAGACCCCAGAUAUGUCCAGGUGGACAUACAAAGCUUAUAUUUCAUUUGAUAGGCCAAGUGAAAUGGAGACAUGUUGAAAGGAUGUCCACGUCCAUUUAGUCCCCACCCCCACCCCCAAACUCUCUGGUUUCCAAGGCUACCGUUUACAACCAUCUGUAGUAAAUACCGCUGCAAAGGUUAUCGUGUAAAUCAUCACACGACCUGCUGCCAUUAAA